rnacentral:lncRNA from 1 species
CCUUGCGGUUGCAGGUGAAGAAGACGACCGAUCCGAGGUUGCGAUCUGAAGCAGAGACAAGAGGAAGGAAGGAUAAAUGAAUAAAGCAAAGCAAGCCCCCGAAACUCAUGGCACAAAAGUGAAAGAGAUAUGGUUGUAAGCUGAGUCAACAAGGCACACCCCAGUAAGCGCGACUUCGAGUUCGCACUUGCUCAUCUUUGAACGUUCUGGCCAAACCCCUUUUUCUUCUGGCACUGUUCUUUGAACGUUCAAACUUUAACGUCCAAACCCCUUUUCUUCUGGCACCGUUCUUUGAACGUUCAAGCAGUCCCCAUCCCAGCAAGCGAUUUCGAGUUUGCGGUUGCUCCUCUCGCGCUGCUCUCCGACCGUCUUCCCCAGAAACACCAGAUCUACAAUUUAUGUGAAGGGUGGGUUGGAUUUAACGCCAAGCCGCCGCCGCCGCCGCCGCCGCCGCCGCCGCCGACCCUGCAACGCCUCCUGGGAACCAGUCCUCGGGUCUCGUCUCAUCGAGACAAGGAGCGCCCGUUUCGACAGAUCCGAUGUGUCGAGUAGAGCCAUGCAUGUCGUGAGGUUUAGAUCUAAAGAUCUAAACUCGAGCCGAGCCAUCUCCCCGAUUCAAAAUAAAAAGGAGACGACUCUCUCUCCUUGCGGCUGCAGGAGGUGAAGAAGACGACCGAUCCGAGGUUGCGAUCUAUAGCAGAGACAAGAGGAGGGAGGAUAAAUGAAUAAAGCAAAGCAAGCCCCUGAAACUCACGGCAAAAAAGUGAAACAGAUAUGGUUAAUAUGUUGAAUCAAGGAAGCACACCUGAAUCAAGGAAGCACACCCCAGACAAGCGAUUUCGAGUUCCGCACUCGCUCCUCUUCGUCGGCUCACCUCUCGCGCUGCUCUUCCGACCUUCUCUCGCAGAAACCCCCUUUUACUGCCAACCGCACCAGAUCUGUUUUUCAUGGGAUGAUUUUCAUUCUUUCCCAGAAACCCCCUUCCCCGCCAACCGCACCAGAUCUAAUUUUGCGUGGGGUUCAUGGGAUGAUGGAGAGAGGGAGGUGAUUUUCAUGCGAUGAUUUUCAUGGGAGGGGAGAGGGAUUUUCAUGGCCGGAUUGGUGUUGGGGGUGGUGGCGUUUGUGUUUGGAGUUAGCGACGCGGUUGAGGUAAAGGUUGGGAGAAUCUUUAUUUCUACAAUGUGACGCUAUGGGGAGAGUUGGUUGGGGGCAUCGGGAGGAUUGGGAGCCAAAUGACCGAAGAGAG